rnacentral:lncRNA from 1 species
UCUGUCAUCGGCUAGGAUGAACAUAUCAAGGAUUAACCCUCCGGGGAACAAAAUGGAGAUUACAACUACCUUUUUACUGGGUAGAAUACCAAAGGUGAGAGCAUCUGUCAUCGGUUAGGAUGAACAUGUCAAGGAUAAACUCAAAAAGGGGAAGAAAAUAUCCGUCAUCGGUUAGGAUGAACAUAUCAAGGAUAGACUUCCUGGGGAAUCACAAAAAUGAAUCCAUUGGGGACUCCACCGAGGAGAAUACAGGGGUACAUUU